GCGGCAACCGUCUUCUGGCUCAUUGUUCUCGGUGUUUAAAUGGUACAUCGACAACUUGAAUUUGGCUCAGGCAACCAUCCUUUGGCUUAUUGUUUUCCAGUAUCUUGACUAUUCAAGUUUGGCUCUCUUCAGCUUUGUGAUCGAUACUGAAGACACGGAUUGGUUGCAUUAGGGAUGGAGUUUUCAGGGAAAUUCGGUAGCAGAGCGGGGUUACUUUGGCUUUCCUUCUGCAUCCUUCUCGCACUUUCCUGCGCCAAGACUGAAAGUUGUGCUUCGUUCACCUUUCUUCUAAAAACUAACAUGAAAAACAUUUAGGACUGCCCCGGGUGAUAUUCUAAAAUCCUGUCUUGUGUUCUGCUUUUUUUGGUGGUUUCAGAGCCCCUACAGAACGUCAAUUUGAGUCCGUUCUGGCAGUGGAGGAGCGCGUACGAAUGCUUGCAAAAUACAUCGAGCAAAUGUGUGGGCAAGAAUCUGGAUAUGACGGGAAAUAUCCAAGUGACUGGGAGCGAACUGACGGACUAUUGCAAUGGAUGCAAGCCGUGGACCAUCGACGUGCUCAACUGCAUCCAUUCGGUUAAGAGGGACUUCUGGUUCAGCAACAACGCCACCAUCAAGCAAAUCAAUGACUCCAUCAACCAGGGCUGUUCCACAAAAUCAGAUAUCGUCGUCCAUGGCUUCCCAAAAAGCAGCAGCAUGAGGAAUUUCAGCAGGACUUACAUGGCUUUGUUCUCGGCUUUGGCCUUGGCAAUUUUCUUGUUUAGCACCUGAGGAUGAGGAGGGAAAGACAAGCAUGCCGGUAGUCAAUAAAAACAGAUUGCCCUCACACAAAUAAGGAAGCCAUGAUACCCAUUGUGUUUAUAUUAAAGCAAAUUACAGACACGUGAUAUCAAAUAAACUAAAGAGAGAAAUUAGAUCGACGCA